rfam:Streptococcus pyogenes M1 GAS, complete genome.
GCCGCUGUAGUUAAAUGGUAUAAUAAAGCAAUGGUAAUGCUUCGUUCCGAGUUCGAUUCUCGGUGGUGGCA